rnacentral:pre_miRNA from 1 species
AAACUAUUUCCUCCAUCCGGAAAAUACUUGUCAUCAAGAUGAAUAAAAGGAGAUGUAUCUGGACAUAUUUUAGUUCUACAUACAUUUUUUAUCAAUUUUGGUGACAAGUAUUUUCGCACGAAAGGAGGGAGUAUGAU